UACAGAGGGUGCAAGCGUUGUUCGGAAUUACUGGGCGUAAAGCGCGUGUAGGCUGCAAUGUAAGUCGGAUGUGAAAGCCCUUGGCUCAACCAAGGAAGUGCAUCCGAUACUGCGUCGCUUGAGUGUCGGAGGGGUCGGCGGAAUUCCCGGUGUAGAGGUGAAAUUCGUAGAUAUCGGGAGGAACACCUGUGGCGAAGGCGGCCGACUGGACGAUAACUGACGCUGAGACGCGAAAGCGUGGGUAGCGAACCGG
rnacentral:rRNA from 1 species